CACUUAGAUGUUCUGGGCCGCACGCGCGCUACACUGAUGAAUGCAACGAGCUCUACCCUUGACCGAAAGGCCCGGGUAAACUUGUGAAACUUCAUCGUGAUGGGGAUAGAUUAUUGCAAUUAUUAAUCUUCAACGAGGAAUUCCUAGUAAGCGCGAGUCAUCAGCUCGCGUUGAUUACGUCCCUGCCCUUUGUACACACCGCCCGUCGCUCCUACCGAUUGAAUGGUCCGGUGAAAUCUUCGGAUUGCUGACCAAGAUCCAGCAAUGGAGCUUGGUUGCGAGAAGUUGAUUAAACCUUAUUAUUUAGAGGAAGGAGAAGUCGUAACA
rnacentral:rRNA from 1 species